rnacentral:rRNA from 1 species
GACGAACCGUGCGAACGUUGUUCGGAAUCACUGGGCUUAAAGGGCGCGUAGGCGGGCCGACGAGUCCGGGGUGAAAGCCCCCAGCUCAACUGGGGAAGCGCCUUGGAUACUUUUGGCCUGGAGGGAGGUAGGGGCGUGCGGAACUUCCGGUGGAGCGGUGAAAUGCGUAGAUAUCGGAAGGAACACCGGUGGCGAAAGCGGCGCGCUGGACCUCUUCUGACGCUGAGGCGCGAAAGCCAGGGGAGCAAACGGG